AGUUCAAAAAUCUACAAUAUGGAUUGGCAGGCUCAGGACCCAGUGGAGCCAGUGGCAUAGUGCCAGGACAAAGAUGUCCUACUGGAGCAUUUUCUUUUAUUUGGAGAGACCACUCUUUUAUCCAUUCAGGCCUUUAAUUGGUUGGAUGAGGCCCACCCCUGCUACAGAGGUCAAUCUACUUUUCCCAAAGUUCAUCAGUGUAAAUGUUAACCUCAUCCAAAGACACUCUGCAAAAUUAACUAUCCCUAUGGGUGGCUCCUAAUUUUCUUGCUUAUGUGUCACCAAAUUGUACUGGUGUCUUGGCUUAUUCAAUAAGAACACAGACAUAAGACAUAAUUUGAGUUUUAUGAUUUCCAAAGCUUGUUUAGACGACCCUACAAAGAUUUCAUGUGCUCCCUAGCAUUAUUUGGGUGGGCGAGGGGUGGGGGGGAACAGUGAGGACUUAGUGGGAAGAAGAGGAGAGUUAAAAUUACUGGUUGGUAUAUUUUAAGAUUUCAAAUUACCUAGUAACCCUGACCUGCUGUGUAAGAGAAAGAUUGAAGACCGUCUGUGCACGUGUUGUGGGGACAAACACCUGCAGCGCUCUGAACCUGCCUCAGUUCCAGGGGUCACAGAGCAUCUUCCACUCAGCAGCUUCCUCACCAAUAUGCGAUUUCAGGUCCACAGACAAUGUGAGCCAAGUGCUGCAGCAGGAGGCAGUGGCCCCCCGGCCAGGGCCCAGCACAGAGCCUAGCAAAGGAAACACAGGAAGGAGAGGUGAAAAAGGUGAGCUGUGCCGCGGAUCAGCGAUCCUUUCACCUAGAGAUGGUCGAGCGGGGCAUGCCUGCCUCAUACCACAGAAGCACACUCUCCAAGGGUGCACUGGAAUCCUGGAGAGUUUUUAGAUGAUUCGGCUUCUGGAUUCUCAACUGUGUAUUAUCUUCCUUGGAAAGUGAUCGGCCUCAGACCAUGCUCUGAGCGUGCCCGGUGGCUCCCCUUCCCACCUCUUCUCACAUCUCGUUUCUGCUGCUUACAAAGAACAACGUGGCCCUCCCAUAUGACAGCCCUUACUAUGCAAGCUUGUUCAUGAUGAAAACAUCUUGGGAAGGCCACAGCCCGGACGACUCAGAAUGCCAUGUACGUGUCAGGGAAGUUUCUUAAUCCAGACUCCCAAACCUCACCUGUCCCUCUUAUUAAACAAUGUAUUUCCAAAAAAAAUUACUUUUUAUUGCUUAUUAAGUACCAAAACUAAUAGGUGCUAUGUUGUCUUGAUCAUUUGUGGACUAAUAAAUAAUAUUAUUGGUUCCUGAAACCUCUGCCC
rnacentral:lncRNA from 12 species